GACGAACGCUGGCGGCGUGCUUAACACAUGCAAGUCGAACGAAGUUGAGAACGGGUGAGUAACGCGUAAUCAACCUGCCCUUCCGAGCGGGACAACAGUUGGAAACGACUGCUAAUACCGCAUACAGAAGGAGGGGAUUGCGUCUGAUUAGCUCUGUGGAGGGGUAACGGUCCACCAAGGCAGUGAUCAGUAGCCGUUCUGAGAGGAUGAACGGCCACAGUGGGACUGAGACACGGCCCAGACUCCUACGGGAGGCAGCAGUGGGGAAUCUUCCGCAAUGGAAGAAAGUCUGACGGAGCAACGCCGCGUGAGUGAGGACGGCCUUCGGGUGGUAAAGCUCUGUUAAUCGGGACGCGGUACCGGAAUAGAAAGCCACGGCUAACUACGGGCCAGCAGCCGCGGUAAUAC
rnacentral:rRNA from 1 species